AGUGAACGCUGGCGGCAGGCCUAACACAUGCAAGUCGAACGAAGCCUUCGGGCUUAGUGGCGCACGGGUGCGUAACGCGUGGGAAUCUGCCCUUGGGUUCGGAAUAACAGUUAGAAAUGACUGCUAAUACCGGAUGAUGUCUUCGGACCAAAGAUUUAUCGCCCAAGGAUGAGCCCGCGUAGGAUUAGGUAGUUGGUGGGGUAAUGGCCCACCAAGCCGACGAUCCUUAGCUGGUCUGAGAGGAUGAUCAGCCACACUGGGACUGAGACACGGCCCAGACUCCUACGGGAGGCAGCAGUGGGGAAUAUUAGACAAUGGGCGAAAGCCUGAUCCAGCAAUGCCGCGUGAGUGAUGAAGGCCUUCGGGUUGUAAAGCUCUUUUACCAGGGAUGAUAAUGACAGUACCUGGAGAAUAAGCUCCGGCUAACUCCGUGCCAGCCGCCGCAGUAA
rnacentral:rRNA from 1 species